rnacentral:rRNA from 1 species
GGAAUAUUGGGCAAUGGGGGAAACCCUGACCCAGCAACGCCGCGUGAGGGAAGAAGGUUUUCGGAUCGUAAACCUCUGUCCUUGGUGAAGAGGAAGAGACGGUAGCCAAGGAGGAAGCCCCGGCUAACUACGUGCCAGCAGCCGCGGUAAUACGUAGGGGGCGAGCGUUGUCCGGAAUGAUUGGGCGUAAAGGGCGUGUAGGCGGCUGUAUAAGUCUGGAGUGAAAGUCCCGUUUUCAAGAUGGGAAUUGCUUUGGAUACUGUACAGCUUGAGUGCAGGAGAGGUUAUCGGAAUUCCCGGUGUAGCGGUGAAAUGCGUAGAGAUCGGGAGGAACACCAGUGGCGAAGGCGGGUAACUGGACUGCAACUGACGCUGAGGCGCGAAAGUGUGGGGAGCAAACA